UGCGAACUCCUACGGGAGGCAGCAGUAGGGAAUCUUCCGCAAUGGGCGAAAGCCUGACGGAGCAACGCCGCGUGAGUGAAGAAGGAUUUCGGUUCGUAAAGCUCUGUUGUUAGGGAAGAAUGAUUGUGUAGUAACUAUACACAGUAGAGACGGUACCUAACCAGAAAGCCACGGCUAACUACGUGCCAGCAGCCGCGGUAAUACGUAGGUGGCAAGCGUUGUCCGGAAUUAUUGGGCGUAAAGCGCGCGCAGGUGGUUUAAUAAGUCUGAUGUGAAAGCCCACGGCUCAACCGUGGAGGGUCAUUGGAAACUGUUAAACUUGAGUGCAGGAGAGAAAAGUGGAAUUCCUAGUGUAGCGGUGAAAUGCGUAGAGAUUAGGAGGAACACCAGUGGCGAAGGCGGCUUUUUGGCCUGUAACUGACACUGAGGCGCGAAAGCGUGGGGAGCAAACAGGAUUAGAUACCCCGGUAGUCCU
rnacentral:rRNA from 1 species